ACGGCUCAUUACAAUGGCCAUGAUUUACUUGAUCUUGAUURUCUAAAUGGAUAACUGUGGAAAAGCUAGAGCUAAUACAUGCACUAAAGCUUUGUCCUUACGGAAAAGCGCAUUUAUUAGAACAAAACCACGCGGCUUCGGCUGCUUCUUGUUGACUCAGAAUAACUAAGCUGACCGCAUGGCCUUGUGCCGGCGGCGUGUCUUUCAAGCGUCCACUUUAUCAACUUGACGGGAGCAUAAUYGACUCCCGUGGUGGUGACGGAUAACGGAGGAUCAGGGUUCGACUCCGGAGAAGGGGCCUGAGAAAUGGCCACUACGUCUAAGGAUGGCAGCAGGCGCGCAAAUUACCCACUCUCGGCUCGAGGAGGUAGUGACGAGAAAUAACGAGAUYGUUCUCUUUGAGGCCGGUCAUCGGAAUGGGUACAAUUUAAACCCUUUAACGAGUAUCAAGCAGAGGGCAAGUCUGGUGCCAGCAGCCGCGGUAAUUCCAGCUCUGCWAAUACAUAGAAUUAUUGCUGCGGUUARAAAGCUCRUAGUUGGAUUCGUAUCGRUACCYUGGAACCCUYCGGGUGUYUCUGGGUGUUAUCGAUUUAUCGUAAUGUUCGGUUUUGAGUCCUUAACAGGAUUCUUAACAGGCAUUGCAAGUUUACUUUGAACAAAUCAGAGUGCUUCAAACAGGCGUUUUCGCUUGAAUGAUCGUGCAUGGAAUAAUAGAAAAUGAUUUCGGUUCWGUUUUAUUGGUUUUACGGACUGAGAUAAUGGUUAACAGAGACAAACGGGGGCAUUUGUAUGGUCCCGUGAGAGGUGAAAUUCUUGGACCGUGGCCAGACAAACUACAGCGAAAGCAUUUGCCAAGAAUGUUUUUAUUAAUCAAGAACGAAAGUCAGAGGUUCGAAGGCGAUCAGAUACCGCCCUAGUUCUGACCGUAAACGAUGCCAACUAGCGAUCCGCCGAUGGAAAUUAUAUUGCCUUGGUGGGGAGCUUCCCGGAAACGAAAGUCUUCCGGUUCCGGGGGAAGUAUGGUUGCAAAGCUGAAACUUAAAGGAAUUGACGGAAGGGCACCACCAGGAGUGGAGCCUGCGGCUUAAUUUGACUCAACACGGGGAAACUCACCCGGCCCGGACACUGUGAGGAUUGACAGAUUGAUAGCUUUUUCAUGAUUCAGUGGAUGGUGGUGCAUGGCCGUUCUUAGUUA
rnacentral:rRNA from 1 species